UUUUGUCCUAACUUUGUUGUUCGUGAGUUACAGUUGCUCAAAGUUUGUGAUUUAGCCUCUUUGAAAAAUUUUCAGGCGGCACUAGGGAAAGCAGGAACAACCAAACUCUCUCAGUCUCUUUUAAAUAUUUAGAAAAUUUUUUUUGCCAACUCUUUUAUUGAAUAGAGCUUCAGAUGCUAAAAUAAAUUUCAGCUUUUCUUCUUUCUCCUACCCAUGUGCCAUGGUUGCCAUGGUAUCUCAAUAUCUGCUGAGUGCUGACCACACCUAUAAUUUAUUUUAUGGAUCAGUGCAGUAAUUGCAUUGUUGCAGUUUAUGUAUAUCCUUUUUUCAAAAUUAAUAGCAACUAGCAAGUUACUUAUAGGAAGGAUGUGGACUGGCGCCUUACAGUCUGCCAGAACCUUUGUGAGUCCUGAUAGAACCCACAAUGGCUCAAACAAAAAGGGUAGUAAAAAAGUCUUAUAGGCUUGCUGCCAUCAUUGCAGAUGAUAAUACAAGCUGAUGAGCUAGAGUAACUUGCCACAUACUUCUGUAGAUAUAUAUUCACUAGCAAGUGCAAAUGUAGGAGACUAUCCUUUUGGAGCAUAUACUCUCUUUUAAGCAGCUAUUGGAGCAAUUUGUUAUAGCUAUGCAGUCAAUAAUAA